UUCAACCAGAGGGUUGGAUCGGGUAUUUUCUACAAGUGGAGUCUCGUCUUUGAAGUCAAAUUAUUCAUUCAACAGGUGUGGAGUUUAGAGAAUCGAUCGAUUGUUCAUAAUGUGGAAGCUAAUUUACGCAGUAAUCUUGCUGUUCGUAUGUUCAAGAGCAGAAAAGCUGAGUUCCAAAGAGUGUGAGGAUCUAGGGUUUACAGGUCUCGCCCUCUGUUCCGAUUGUAAUGCGCUCGCCGAAUAUGUCAAGGAUCAAGAACUACUCUCUGAUUGCAAAAAGUGCUGUGCUGAAGAUUCUGACGACUCCAUUAGCAAGAUAAUCUACUCUGGUGCUGUUCUUGAGGUAUGCAUGAGGAAGCUCGUGUUCUAUCCAGAAGUUGUCAGUUUCAUUGAAGAUGAGAAGGAAAAGUUCCCUUCUGUUAAAAUUCAAUAUCUAUUUAACGCUCCACCAAAGUUGAUAAUGUUGGAUGAUGCUGGACAACAUAAAGAAAUCAUAAGAAUUGACAACUGGAAACGUGAACACAUGCUGGAAUUCUUGAGGGCAAAGCUGAAGCCAAUAGCAGCAAUUUGAUUGGAAUUCAGUAAUAGGUAAUAAGUUCGACUAGGAGAUCAAGUGGUGCAACUUCAAGAAAUUUUACUUUCUUACUUUUGUGUAACUGAUGAACAAGUUCAAUAUGUAAACUAUGUAAGUGUGUAUUUCUAAUGUAUGAUGUUUUGUUGCUAUGCUUCAUUUAUAUUCAAUUGUUAUGAUACUGUACACGAAGUGAUCUGCCCCCGGAUGUUUCCGCCGUCCAGGUUCGGGGGUGUGACAUCAUGCAUGCAUUAAGUCAAUUAUUAAGUCUCUUUUAAGAUUAAGAGCUUCAUUUAGACAUGCAUAAACGUAAAGUUGGCAACUUUACGUGGUUUUCCAGCUCAAGGAAGUAAGAUAUAUGUUUUGGGGCUGUCUUUGUGGAUAAAGUACUUAUUGGUUAAGGCCUUGCUAUCAAGCCUUUUUGGUUGGGUUUGGACCCUUUUUGGUAGUCCCUAUGGGUAAAGAUGGAAACUUUACCCUUCUAAGUCUCAUUUUGGUCUAGAUCUGAGCUUUGGAGCUCUUGGAAUCGGAGAAUGUAGCUUAAUGUAUCAAGUUGAGGAAACGCAGGCAAACACGACGUGUUGGCUGGAGUUUUCCAGAUUAUCUGGAUAAUGGAAGACCACAGCGUGUUUGUAAGUCAACAUAGCGUGUUUGGUCAACAUGGAUUAUUAACUUUGACUUUGACUAGAAGUUUGACCAAGGUGACCAUGGGUUAUUUUUAGGCCUUAGGUGUUUAUGUGGAGAUUGGACCUUUGGAUUGUUGAAUGGGGCCUUGGUUUUGGGCCAAGUUAUGAAAAGGCUUGGGGAUUCUUACGGGUCAGCAACCAAAGAUUCUUUCUGUGAGAUUCGACAGUGCCAGGUACUUCGAUUUUCAAAUGGGAGAGCUCGGAAUGAUUGCAGAGCACACACCACAUGUUUCCGUAUUCUGUGAUUUACUCUGAUUUGAUGAUGUUUUGAUAAAUCUUGACUACCUUGACUUUAUGAGAAUGAUAUGUAUUAACGAUUUAUUAAUCUAAAAAUGAAAAUUUUAUGUCA